rnacentral:rRNA from 1 species
GACGAACGCUGGCGGCGUGCCUAAUACAUGCAAGUUGAGCGAUGAAGAUUGGUGCUUGCACCAAUUUGAAGAGCAGCGAACGGGUGAGUAACGCGUGGGGAAUCUGCCUUUGAGCGGGGGACAACAUUAGGAAACGAAUGCUAAUACCGCAUAACAACUUUAAACAUAAGUUUUAAGUUUGAAAGAUGCAAUUGCAUCACUCAAAGAUGAUCCCGCGUUGUAUUAGCUAGUUGGUGAGGUAAAGGCUCACCAAGGCGAUGAUACAUAGCCGACCUGAGAGGGUGAUCGGCCACAUUGGGACUGAGACACGGCCCAAACUCCUACGGGAGGCAGCAGUAGGGAAUCUUCGGCAAUGGACGAAAGUCUGACCGAGCAACGCCGCGUGAGUGAAGAAGGUUGUCGGAUCGUAAAACUCUGUUGGUAGAGAAGAACGUUGGUGAGAGUGGAAAGCUCAUCAAGUGACGGUAACUACCCAGAAAGGGACGGCUAACUACGUG